rnacentral:rRNA from 1 species
CCCUUAGAUGUCCUGGGCCGCACGCGCGUUACACUGAUGCAUUCAACGAGCUUAUAACCUUGGCCGAGAGGCCUGGGCAAUCUUGUUAACGUGCAUCGUGAUAGGGAUAGAUUAUUGAAAUUAUUAAUCUUGAACGAGGAAUUCCUAGUAAACGCAGAUCAUCAAUCUGCAUUGAUUAAGUCCCUGCCCUUUGUACACACCGCCCGUCGCACCUACCGAUUGGAUGGUCCGGUGAAGCCUCGGGAUUGUGGUUCUUGCCGCUUUAUUGUGGCGUGACCGCGAGAACUUGUCUAAACCUUAUCAUCUAGAGGAAGGUGAAGUCGUAACA